UACAGGAACCCCAAGUGCUACUCGGAUUAACUGGGCGUAAAGUGCACGUAGACGGCUUUGUAAGUCAUCUGUUAAAUCUUAGGGCUUAACUCUAAGUAGGUGGAUGAUACUGCAUUGCUAGAGAUCGGGAGAGGAGAGCGGAAUUCCAUUUUUAGUGGUUAAAUACGUUCAGAAGUGGAGGAACACCAAUGGCGAAGGCAGCUCUCUGGAACGAUUCUGACGUUGAGGUGCGAAAGCGUGGGGAGCAAACAGG
rnacentral:rRNA from 1 species